UAUGGUCAAAUCCUGCUGAAAACACUGGUACUCAUUUGAUCACUGAAGUUAAGCAGCACUAAGCCUGGUCAGUACAUAAGAUGGGGGACCACUUUCAAACACCGGGUACUGUAAG